AUUCAGUUGAAGAGUCCCAAAUAGGACGAAACGCGCGUCCUGGAU
rfam:Schistosoma curassoni strain Dakar, Senegal genome assembly, scaffold: SCTD_scaffold0000032